rnacentral:rRNA from 1 species
UACAGAGGUCUCAACCGUUGUUCGGAUUUAUUGGGUUUAAAGGGUGCGUAGGCGGCCCUGUAAGUCAGUGGUGAAAUACUCCAGCUUAACUGGAGGGGUGCCAUUGAUACUGCAGGGCUUGAGUGGAGUCGAGGUAGGCGGAAUUGACGGUGUAGCGGUGAAAUGCUUAGAUAUCGUCAAGAACACCGAUAGUGUAGACAGCUUACUAGGCUUCAACUGACGCUGAGGCACGAAAGUGUGGGGAUCAAACAGG